AAAUUAUGUACUAAAAAAAUUACAACAAUUGCCAAUUUUAAUUGUGUUUUUAUACUCACGUUGGCAUGUUUUCUGUGGUAGAAAUUUUCUUGUGGAAGAAUUUUGUUGUUGUUUUGUCAAGUUUAGACAAAAAUGGGUAUCAGAAAAGAAUAUGCUAUAAAACCGCAACCAAAGUUAUAUCAAGACAGAGACAGAAUAUGCCAUGCCAUUCUAAACAUGAAAAAAGAACAACAAUAACUACAUUUUCUUUUCAUUCGAAUUGAAGUGAAUUGAUUGAACAUGUCUUUUGUUUUGACAUGGAAGAGGAAAAUGCAUUUGCUAGUUCUCCUCAAUCAUGUUUGAAAGUUGAAGGUUUUCUGAAAAGCAUCAGUUACUCAUUGCUAUUUCAACACUCAUGAUUUAUGCGCAUGAGAAUGUAACAUCAACCAUUGAUCUAUUCAUCAACAGUACAUAUUGUAGACUCUAUACUCUAAAGUAUCUUUACUUACUUCAUGGGUGCGGAAGACGGUGGUAAAAGAAUUAAGCUCCAUCCAACGCAAAAGCAAUUCUUGACUUCUUCUGUAUUUAACUAUAGGUAAGUUAACUGUACAAUAUCCUCCAAUGUCAC